rnacentral:rRNA from 1 species
GUCCACGCCCUAAACGAUGUCAACUAGGUGUUGGGAGCGCAAGUUCUUGGUACCGCAGCUAACGCGUGAAGUUUACCGCCUGGGGAGUACGGUCGCAAGAUUAAAACUCAAAGGAAUUGACGGGGACCCGCACAAGCGGUGGAUGAUGUGGAUUAAUUCGAUGCAACGCGAACAACCUUACCUACCCUUGACAUGUCCGGAAGGCUGCUGAAAGGCGGUUGUGCCCGCAAGGGAACCGGAACACAGGUGCUGCAUGGCUGUCGU